GACGAACCGUGCGAACGUUGUUCGGAAUCACUGGGCUUAAAGGGCGCGUAGGCGGGCUAUCAAGUCUGGGGUGAAAUCCCGCGGCUCAACCGUGGAACUGCCUUAGAUACUGACGGCCUUGAGGAAGGUAGGGGCAUGCGGAACUGUAGGUGGAGCGGUGAAAUGCGUUGAUAUCUACAGGAACUCCGGUGGCGAAAGCGGCUUACUGGGUCUCUUCUGACGCUGAGGCUCGAAAGCGUGGGGAGCAAACAGG
rnacentral:rRNA from 1 species